rnacentral:misc_RNA from 1 species
GAUUAAUCAGAGUUUAAUUACAUUUCUAACGAUUCAUUUAUUAAUUUUUAGUUUAUCUUUCAACAUUGCUUUAACUUUUGCCAAAUAUACAAAAUAAGAAAAUGUUCAAAUUCCAUUCUACUUUAAUGUAACGUUGCUUGAACUUUAUGUGGCCUCAAACGUCUGAAUAUUACGCAUGUAGCAAUACACCCUGCAAUGUGAUGCAAUAGUUAUCCAAGCUUUGGAACAGAGUGGUAUAUUGUACAUUGCCCAACAUAAAAUUUCAUAACAAUAUGGUAUUACUCACCAAGGCAUACAAUUCAUACAUAAUUUUAUCAGACAUAGAUAAAACCAUAUGAGAUCACCAUCAUACAUACAGUAAGGUAAUAGAGUCACAUUACAUAUCUAUAGUUAUCGGAAAUUUGGGAUGAUGAAACAAAAAAUUGAACUCCAAGAUGUCAAGUAGUGUAGAGGAAGCGCUUGAUCUGAGUAAACCAGAUAUCAGCAGACGGCAGUCCUUAGAUGCUGGAAGAACCCCACCACACACCCCACCCACACCCACGUCACCUAUACCAAGCGUAUCGUCAGACUUAGACCCGAUGCGCGGCUUGCAUUCGGUGAUUGACAGAUCCUCGAGUCUCAGUUCAGACGGCCACGAAAGUGACGGUAGCCUUACCACGUCAGUGCACAGAGUUUCAGGCCCACUAACAUCCGGGCACUUGAGCCCACGUGACGACUCAAGUGGUUCAGAGGGCACUGACUCCAAUCGUCCAUUUAAAAUGUAUCCCAUUGAUUCUUCAGCUGGACUUAACCCUCUCGCGGGUAUGAGCUCGGUGCUACCUGGACUCUCGUAUGGUAUGCCACCUUCAGCUAUCUAUGGCAGCGGGGAUUCCCCUAUGCUAUCAACACCCCUCAUGUCAUACCUAGCCCAAAGAAAGCGCAAAAAUGAUAACAGGGACCAUUUAGUAAUUGACAAUAAAAAAACAAAGACCAUCCCCGAGGAUAAGAAAGACAACGCUUAUUGGGAGCGAAGACGAAAAAAUAAUGAAGCGGCAAAACGAUCAAGAGACACACGUCGUCAAAAGGAAGAGCAAAUAGCGAUGCGUGCAGCUUUCCUUGAACAAGAAAACCUAAAACUCAGAGCUCAAGUAGCAAUAUUGAAAAAUGAAACUGCCAAAUUGCAUUAUAUGCUGUACCAAAGAUCGUAGCAAUGUCAUUGGUGAUUUAUAAUAUGUGUAUAUAAUGCUCAAGAUCUUUUUUAUAUUACAAGAUGUACAAUUGUAUGUACAAGGGGCAACAUUUCAGGUGACCCAUAAUACGGCUGGAACAGUAAGGGUUUGACAGGGUUAAACACUAUGUAAGAUAAAAGUUCAGGGUUUUUUACAUUAAAACAUAAUAGAUGUAGCGAAAACAUAGUUUUAAAAUGUAUUUGGGACUCAUACAUGUCAUACACAAUGUUAACUCUCUGGAUAAAACCAAGAACGUGAAUCAGUGAAUUAAAGAACACUGCCAGGUUUUCGUGUCGACCAUGAUUAAAAUUAUGACUUUAAAAUAGAGAGUGUGUACUAAAUAUUUUACAAACAAUCA